ACGCCUACGGGGGGCAGCAGUAGGGAAUAUUGCUCAAUGGGGGAAACCCUGAAGCAGCAACGCCGCGUGGAGGAUGAAGGUUUUCGGAUUGUAAACUCCUUUUGUUAGAGAAGAUAAUGACGGUAUCUAACGAAGAAGCACCGGCUAACUCCGUGCCAGCAGCCGCGGAAAUACGGAGGGUGCAAGCGUUACUCGGAAUCACUGGGCGUAAAGAGCGCGUAGGCGGGAUAGCAAGUCAGAUGUGAAAACGUAUGGCGUAACCAUAGAAAUGCAUUUGAAACUGUUAUUCUAGAGUAUG
rnacentral:rRNA from 1 species